ensembl:lncRNA
CAGCCUCAUCCCAGAGAACUCUGCUCUCCUCCCAAGGAAAGCGCUCCCUCACUCUGGCCUGGGACCCAUCUUCCCAACACUCAGAUCUGAGACUCUCUCGUCACCAAAAGGCACAGGCACUCGGAGUCCUGUAAUGACCUUUCUACCAGCCGCUUUGGGCAGGGAUAUUCAUCCAGGAAACCCUCCAAAGCAGGGUUAGAGCUGCCUCCUGCCCACCCCCCCAAUACUACCUCCAUCCUCUUGAGGGCUCAGGGACCUUGUCUGUUUCGUUAUCUCUCUUAAACUCUCUCUGUCUCUCUUUCUCCCUCCCUCUCUUCCGUCCUCCCUCUACACUCUCUCCUCCAACCGCUGCAAUCUGGAAGAAAUUACUCUUCUAAACAACCAGACUUCCCCAGCUUCAGGAAAUUCCAAGCUGGGCAGGGGGAGGGGCCAGGCUGGGGGCGAGCCCUGGCCAUCCCCCACCCCUCUGCGUGUCCUCUCUGCACACCCAGUCGGGCCUCUCACCGCCCCCACACUCUACACUCUGCCCGGAGGCCUCAGCUUUUCCACCACUACUUUGGAGUCCUUUAAAUCCUAGAGGCAAACUUGGGGUGGGGGGGCGGAAUCAGGAAGGCUGGGAGGGGCCUGUGACUUAACCCUCUCCGCCCCAGACGGACUGAGCUGGCCUAGACGGUGACUCCGCAGCCCGUUUGGGUUCCUACUAUGGCCCCCGAGAGGGGCUGACACCUCGGUCCCCGGUGCAGGUGAGAACCGUCGGGAGGAAGAAGGAAGAAGGAGCGGGCCUGGACCUCGAAAAGGAGAGGGGGUCCCCCAGCCUGAGCCUGAGAGCGCGCCUGCCCCUCUCAGCGAGGACCAAGAGGUAAGGGGUCGCGGGGAGCCGGGCCUCAGGGUCCCGGGUCAGGUCCGGAGGGACGAGGGACAGACGGGCAAAGGGGGUGCGGGCGCUCAAGUCAGGGCGGCAGCCACGUGGCCCGAGCAAGCGCGGCGAGCCCACGGGGCGGGGGUCUCCCAUUCCCGGGCCUGGCUCCGCUCGCCUCGCUGCCUACCCCCGACCGGAGAACCGGUCGGGCCGGGCGUGGAGCAGGCGGUUAUUUCCGUCUUGGCGGGGCUGGGGCCAGAGAGGACAGAGGUGAACCAGCUGUGCCCUCCACUCCCGCAGCUGGGGCGGCGGGCCUGCUGAGGGGGAGACUGGAAGGGGGCGGCAGGAGGGCGGCUGCGCCGAGCCUGGAGUCGCGGGGCCCGGGCCCCUCGGGGUCCCAACCUCGCUCCUGCAUGCUCUGCCUCUUUCGCGUUUGUGGCGAACAACAGCCCUCUCUGUAGGAGCCCUGGCUGGCGUUUUUUCCUAGCAUGACCUCAUUGCUUCAAGCAUACAACUCUGCUUGAGGGAGGUUGGAGCCUUUUAUUUAAGAGGACCCUGAGGCUGGAGGCUCCGAAAACUGGAGUGACUUGCCCGAGGCCCUCAGAGCUAGCCAGAAGAGGUCUUACUCCGAAAGGAUUUCUAACUCAUUAUUCUCUGUCUGGGAUGGAAAAAGAGGAAAAGAAAGGCAAACAAACAUAGUCAGGGGUGUAGAAAAUCCCUGGCCUUUAAAGCAUAUGGAAACAUUGUUUCCAUGGGGAUGCACACACACCCAUCUUAUCCGUGGGGGGCUAUGAGCGAUCUGAUAUCAUCUUCAGACUCUCAUCAGGUUUAGUGUCUCUGCCUGGUUUCCAAAUCCAGCCCCUAACAUUUGUUGCUGUGUGACCCUGGGCAACUUACUCCACCUCCUUGGCCACCACCUUUGUAGAGCUCAUGGAGCUGUUCUGAGGAUUGAGUGAGUUUGUUGGAGUAACACACUUAGGUUCCCGCUUAGGAAAUAUAACUUCAGCACCGUGAAUAUACUUCACAAAACCCCUAGCAAAGAGGCAUUCUGACUUCUGUUUUUCAGUGGACUAAACUAAGGUUUAAGGUUGAGGAAGUGAGUUCAGGUUCCCACAGAAAGGAAAUGACAGGUGUGUUUGGCCAGGAACUGGAAAAUGGUAGUGGUGUUGGCUGAUAGGGCAACAGAGCGUUGGGAUGAGGGACCAAGUAGGGCAUGGGCAGGCAGAAGAUCCGGUGUCGGAGAGCUGUCUGGGGAGGGGUCCGUUCAAGGGGCAGCAGGGGGUGGAAGUGGUAAGUCUGGGCUCUGGUGUCCUGCAGAGCUGGCUUUGUGACCUUGGGCAAGUCACAUACCCUCUCUGAGUGUGUCCUUCUCUGGGACAUGGGAGAAGGAUCCCAGAUAGCUACUGAGCAUUUAUUUUAUUGUGUCCUGAGCACUGCCAAGACUUUGCUGGCAACAUCCCACCAAUCUUGCAAGGAGACUACAAAGUUUUAUAGGAACAUCCUAUAUUCCUAUGUUCCAUUUUUGAGAAAAGGAAAUGAGGUCAAAAAUGUUAAGUAGCUUGCCCAAAUCUAGACACACACACACAGCCAGAUGGAAACCUAGGCAUUUGUCUGAGUUGUGUGCUCUUUUCCCCACACAACUCACUGCAGAGUAAGGACAGCCACUGCUAGCAUGGGGAGAGGUUUGUUGUUGUUGUCGCUUUUUGUUUUUUUCUUUUUAACUGUGGAUUGAAAUUUAUUAAUGAGCAGAGGUAAGCAUUUAAAAAAAAUAAAAUAGAUUAGAAUUGAAAAUAUCUGAGUGCC